rnacentral:misc_RNA from 1 species
GAACAACUAUUCUAAAAGUAAUUUUUGACAAAAAUUGUUUUCAAAUAGAAGUGA